GAGUUUGAUCCUGGCUCAGGAUGAACGCUAGCGGCAGGCUUAAUACAUGCAAGUCGAGGGGCAGCAGCUUUAUAGCAAUAUAGAGGCUGGCGACCGGCAAACGGGUGCGGAACACGUACACAACCUUCCUUGAAUAGGGGGAUAGCCCAUAGAAAUGUGGAUUAAUACCCCGUAAUAUAGCGGUGUGGCAUCACACUGUUAUUAUAGUUUCGGCGAUUCGAGAUGGGUGUGCGGCUGAUUAGGUAGUUGGCGGGGUAAAGGCCCACCAAGCCUUCGAUCAGUAGCUGAUGUGAGAGCAUGAUCAGCCACACGGGCACUGAGACACGGGCCCGACUCCUACGGGAGGCAGCAGUAAGGAAUAUUGGUCAAUGGACGCAAGUCUGAACCAGCCAUGCCGCGUGAAGGAUGAAGGUCCUCUGGAUUGUAAACUUCUUUUAUAGGGGGCGAAAAAAGGUCUUUCUAGAUCACUUGACAGUACCCUAUGAAUAAGCACCGGCUAACUCCGUGCCAGCAGCCGCGGUAAUACGGAGGGUGCAAGCGUUAUCCGGAUUCACUGGGUUUAAAGGGUGCGUAGGCGGGUAGGUAAGUCAGAGGUGAAAUCCUGGAGCUUAACUCCAGAAMUGCCUUUGAUACUAUCUAUCUUGAAUAUGGUGGAGGUAAGCGGAAUAUGUCAUGUAGCGKUGAAAUGCAUAGAUAUGACAUAAAAMACCUAUUGCGAAGGCRCUUACUACGCCUAUAUUGACGCUGAGGCYGAAAGCGUGGGGAUMAACAGGAUAYAUACCCUGUYASUCACKCCYUAAACCAUKGAUUACU
rnacentral:rRNA from 1 species